CUGUCUGGGGUCAGAGACAUCUGGUCUGGUGGUCUCCACCCUGAUCCUCUUACCAGGCGAGGACAGCCUGCCGGGGGCUUCACUGUGUUUAUCAGGGUGAUGGGAAGUGACUUGUCUGAGGCCUCACUGGAGGGCUCCGUGGGUGUGCCUGGGGAGAGUGCAGGCGAAACUGGAGUUUUUAAGAUGGAGUUGCUUAGGCUCAGGCCUCAGGCCAUCCUCACAGGCCUAAGCAACUCUGCAUGACCCUGUCUCUAAAUAAAAUAUAACACGGGCUGGGGAUGUGGCUCAGUGGUUAACUGCCCUGGGCUCAAUCCCUGGUCCAUGUCCCCCCAGUAAAAUAGUAAAGAAGAGGACCCUGAGCCCAGAAUGGCCCCUGGAGAAUACACAUUAAGUCAGCACCUUCUGUUUGCAGGGACUGAGCUCUGAAGGACUGCAGGAAGGACACAAGGACGUGUGCUGUGGACGGGCCUCCUUCCCCUCUGGGGACAGCGAGCCUGGAAGCCAAACUCAAUGGAUCCUCUUCUCCCAGGAGAACGGUGCGCGUCACAUUGGAGUCUGCAGUCAGUUAAGACCGUCUCCUGCCGGAGGGACAGAGGCACCGCAGCCACUGGCUUUGGCCCAGACACCAUGAGCUUUGGCUGCAACAGCCACCUUCUGGGAACCGAGAAGGGAAGGUUCCAGACCUCCUCUUAAGUCACAAGGAGGGCCCCUCACCCCGCAGCGCCACCCAGCCAGCAGAUGCCAGUCCCCCUUCGCCCUCUCAUACGGUGCUGCAGCCACCUGGUUUGCAGGCAGUUCCCUGAGAUGAUGACACACAUGGGAGAAGGUCGUGAAGGGACAAUAAGAUUCUCCCCUCGCCCACCUCCGCCCCCUUCCUUCCCCUUGCUCUGACCCGGAUCCCAGACCGAUGUUUGGUGGAGGGCGAGGAGCAGCAGCCGAGCCCUUGGCCUCCUUAUUCCUUCUCUACUGCGAGCAUUGUGUCCAGCGGCCUUGGCACUGGCCAUCUUAAUGGCUGCGUCAAUUGGAGAUGGUCGGUCAGGAAACUUCUCUGCAGCUGCUGUGCACUGAGGACUCACUCGUGCAUUUAAGAGCUAUUUAUUGAACUUCUUAGAGGCACAGGGAAAUGCCGCGGGAAGGGAGGAUUUGUUUUUAUAACACGUCAGCAAAGGAAAAAAGGAGACCCGUGGGGUGAAAUCUAGAUCUCUGUGGGAUCUGGGGUGCGGGGCGAGUGGGGUUUCCUGCUGCCCUCUCUCUUUUUUUGAAAGGUAUAUUUGAAAUGUCUCUUAAUAAAAAAUUCAAAAUUC
rnacentral:lncRNA from 1 species